GUGGGGAAUAUUGGACAAUGGGCGAAAGCCUGAUCCAGCCAUGCCGCGUGUGUGAAGAAGGUCUUCGGAUUGUAAAGCACUUUAAGUUGGGAGGAAGGGUUGUACGUUAAUACCGUGCAAUUUUGACGUUACCGACAGAAUAAGCACCGGCUAACUUCGUGCCAGCAGCCGCGGUAAUACGAAGGGUGCAAGCGUUAAUCGGAAUUACUGGGCGUAAAGCGCGCGUAGGUGGUUCAGUAAGUUGGAAGUGAAAUCCCCGGGCUCAACCUGGGAACUGCUUUCAAAACUGCUGAGCUAGAGUACGGUAGAGGGUAGUGGAAUUUCCUGUGUAGCGGUGAAAUGCGUAGAUAUAGGAAGGAACACCAGUGGCGAAGGCGACUACCUGGACUGAUACUGACACUGAGGUGCGAAAGCGUGGGGAGCAAACAGGAUUAGAAACCCUUGUAGUCC
rnacentral:rRNA from 1 species